GCUACUUCAAUGUUAAGGUGCGUGAUGAAAGCCACAAGUCUGUGAAGGGUUGGAAAUCAAAUACUGGCUCAUUCCACGGCUGGCGUCAUCACUGAGUCCGUCAGCAGAGCAGCUACAUAGCAAGCAUUCAGGCUUAGAGAUGCCAGGAAUGGCCAGAAGAGAAAAUGAAACAAAAUCUGUACUUCAACAAGUAGAAGAACAGCUUCAACAACUAAGAAGAGUUUGAAGGUGUUGACAAUCAUCUUGAAUUUACAAUGAAAAUGAAGAUUUGGAGGGCGCAAUCACCAACAGCAUUGUAUGACGGCAGUCCAUCAUCUGCACUAGGUGAUUUUGUUCAUUUAUAGUCAAAGGAACGCGAUGAUCAUGAA